rnacentral:misc_RNA from 1 species
GAUGAAGAACGUAGCGAAAUGCGAUACGUAGUGUGAAUUGCAGAAUUCAGUGAAUCAUCGAAUCUUUGUACGCACAUUGCACCUCUCGGUAUUCCGGGAGGUAUGCCUGUUCGAGCGUCAUUUGUACCCUCAAGCUCUGCUUGGUGUUGGGUGUUUGUUCCGCCUCUGUGUGUGAACUCGCCUCAAAACAAUUGGCAGCCGGCGUACUUGUUUCGGAGCGCAGCACAUUUUGCGAUCCAGAUCAACGUACAGCGGCAUCCAAGAAGCCUUAUUUAACGCUCUUGACCUCGGAUCAGGUAGGGAUACCCGCUGAACUUAAGCAUAUCAAUAAGCGGAGGA